rnacentral:tRNA from 1 species
GGGCGAUUAGCUCAGUUGGCUAGAGCGACCGCUUGACGUGCGGUAGGUCAGAGGUUCGACUCCUCUAUCGCCCA